rnacentral:rRNA from 1 species
UAAGGAAUAUUGGUCAAUGGACGCAAGUCUGAACCAGCCAUGCCGCGUGAAGGAUUAAGGUCCUCUGGAUUGUAAACUUCUUUUAUAUGGGACGAAAAAAGGUCUUUCUAGACCCCUUGACGGUACCAUAUGAAUAAGCACCGGCUAACUCCGUGCCAGCAGCCGCGGUAAUACGGAGGGUGCAAGCGUUAUCCGGAUUCACUGGGUUUAAAGGGUGCGUAGGCGGGUAGGUAAGUCAGUGGUGAAAUC